AGAGUCACGGGUAGGAGGCAGAGAGAGCCACCUGUGCUGCAAAAGACUCAAGAUUAGCAGCUGCUGAAGAGGCAUCUGUGGAGUCUCUGGUUCCUCCUGCUCUCCGUGGCCUGGUGCGCCCUCACAAGAAGCGGAAGAAGCUGUCUUCCUCUUGUAGGAAGGCCAAGAGAGCGAAGUCCCAGAACCCACUGCGCAGCUUCAAGCACAAAGGAAAGAAAUUCAGACCCACAGCCAAGCCCUCCUGAGGUUGUUGAGCCUCUCUGGAGCUGAGCACAUUGUGGAGCACGGGCUUACACCCUUCGUGGACAGGCGAGGCUCUGGUGCUUACUGCACAGCCUGAACAGACAAUUCUGGGGCCGGCAGUGCUGGGCCCUUUAGCUCCUUGGCACUUCCAACCUGGCAUCUUGCCCCUUGACAACAGAAUAAAAAUUUUAGCUGCC
rnacentral:sRNA from 1 species